rnacentral:hammerhead_ribozyme from 1 species
GCACUGGUGAGGAGUCGCAGAAUAAAAGUAAACGGCCGUCCAGUGC